UACAGAGGUCUCAAGCGUUGUUCGGAUUCAUUGGGCGUAAAGGGUGCGUAGGCGGCGCGGUUAAGUCGGGUGUGAAAAUCCGUUGGAGCUUAACUCCGAAACUGCAUUCGAUACUGCCGUGCUUGAGGACUGGGAGAGGAGACUGGAAUUUACGGUGUAGCGGUGAAAUGCGUAGAUAUCGUAAGGAAGACCAGUGGCGAAGGCGGGUCUCUGGACAGUUCCUGACGCUGAGGCACGAAGGUCAGGGGAGCAAACGGG
rnacentral:rRNA from 1 species